CGAAGGGUGCAAGCGUUACUCGGAAUUACUGGGCGUAAAGCGUGCGUAGGUGGUUUGUUAAGUCUGCUGUGAAAGCCCCGGGCUCAACCUGGGAAUGGCAGUGGAUACUGGCAAGCUAGAGUGCGGUAGAGGGUAGUGGAAUUCCCGGUGUAGCGGUGAAAUGCGUAGAGAUCGGGAGGAACACCAGUGGCGAAGGCGGCUACCUGGACCAGCACUGACACUCAGGCACGAAAGCGUGGGGAGCAAACAGGAUUAGAUACCCUGGUAGUCCACGCCCUAAACGAUGCGAACUGGACGUUGGGUGCAACUUGGCACUCAGUGUCGAAGCUAACGCGUUAAGUUCGCCGCCUGGGGAGUACGGUCGCAAGACUG
rnacentral:rRNA from 1 species